UGAACGCUAGCGGUGCGCCUAACACAUGCAAGUCGAACGGCCCGCAAGGGCAGUGGCGGACGACUGCGUAACACGUUGGAACCUGCCCCGGACUCAGGGAUACCCUGUCGAAAGACGGGUUAAUACCGGAUACCCCCGUAAGGGGAAAGAUUUUUCGGUCCGGGAGGGGCCUGCGGCCUAUCGGCUAGUUGGUGAGGUAACGGCUCACCAAGGCUAUGACGGGUAGCUGGAUUGAGAGAUCGACCAGCCAGGAUGGGACUGAGACACGGCCCAUACUCCUACGGGAGGCAGCAGUGAGGAAUCUUCCGCAAUGGGCGAAAGCCUGACGGAGCGACACCGCGUGGAGGAUGAAGUCAUUCUUUGAUGUAAACUCCUGUUCUGAGGGAACAAAUUUUUGAGUGUACCUCAGGAGAAAGCAACGGCUAACUACGU
rnacentral:rRNA from 1 species